UACGAGAGGCCCAAACGUUAUUCGGAUUUACUGGGCUUAAAGAGUUCGUAGGCGGUUCGACAAGUGAGGUGUGAAAUCCCUCGGCUUAACCGAGGAAUUGCGCUUCAAACUGUCGGGCUCGAGGGAGAUAGAGGUGAGCGGAACUGAUGGUGGAGCGGUGAAAUGCGUUGAUAUCAUCAGGAACACCAGAGGCGAAGGCGGCUCACUGGGUCUCUUCUGACGCUGAGGAACGAAAGCUAGGGGAGCAAAC
rnacentral:rRNA from 1 species